CCCCUAGAUGUUCUGGGCCGCACGCGCGCUACACUGAACAGUUCAACAAGUCUUAACCUUGGCCGAUAGGUCUGGGUAAUCUUUGAACGCUGUUCGUGAUUGGGAUAGACCUUUGCAAUUAUGGGUCUUCAACGAGGAAUUCCUAGUAAACGCAAGUCAUCAGCUUGCAUUGAUUACGUCCCUACCCUUUGUACACACCGCCCGUCGCACCUACCGAUUGAAUGGUCCGGUGAAAUCUCGGGACGGCGGCUUGGUCGCUUGCGUCCGACUGCUGAAACUUGAUUAAACCAUNUNAUUUAUNGGAAGGUGAANUCGUANCA
rnacentral:rRNA from 1 species